rnacentral:rRNA from 1 species
UACGUAGGGGGCAAGCGUUGUCCGGAAUCAUUGGGCGUAAAGAGCGCGUAGGCGGUCCGGUAAGUCCGCUCUGAAAGUCCGGGGCUCAACCCCGGGAGGCGGGCGGAUACUGUCGGGCUAGAGUCCGGAAGAGGCGAGUGGAAUUCCGGGUGUAGCGGUGGAAUGCGUAGAGAUCCGGAAGAACACCGGUGGCGAAGGCGGCCUGCUGGGCUAUGGCUGACACUGAGGCGCGACAGCGUGGGGAGCAAACGGG